GAUGAACGCUAGCGGCAGGCUUAGUACAUGCAAGUCGAGGGGUAGCAAGAUUGUAGCAAUACAAUUGUUGACGACCGGCAAACGGGUGCGGAACACGUACACAACCUUCCUACAAGUGGGGAAUAGCCCAGAGAAAUUUGGAUUAAUACCCCGUAACAUAGCGAUGUGGCAUCACAUUGCUAUUAUAGCUUCGGCGCUUGUUGAUGGGUGUGCGGCUGAUUAGAUAGUUGGCGGGGUAACGGCCCACCAAGUCUACGAUCAGUAGCUGAUGUGAGAGCAUGAUCAGCCACACGGGCACUGAGACACGGGCCCGACUCCUACGGGAGGCAGCAGUAAGGAAUAUUGGACAAUGGACGCAAGUCUGAUCCAGCCAUGCCGCGUGAAGGAUUAAGGUCCUCUGGAUUGUAAACUUCUUUUAUAAGGGACGAAAAAAGGUCUUUCUAGAUCGUCUGACGGUACCUUAUGAAUAAGCACCGGCUAACUCCGUGCCAGCCGCCGCCGUAACAC
rnacentral:rRNA from 1 species